rnacentral:rRNA from 1 species
GUCUACGGCCAUGCCACCCUCAACAUGCCCAAUCUCAUCUGAUCUCGGAAGCUAAGCAGGUUCGGGCCUGGUUAGUACUUGGAUGGGAGAUCACCUAGGAAUACCGGGUGCUGCAGGCU